rnacentral:rRNA from 1 species
UACGUAGGGUGCGAGCGUUAAUCGGAAUUACUGGGCGUAAAGCGUGCGCAGGCGGCGCGUUAAGACAGGUGUGAAAGCCCCGAGCUUAACUUGGGAAUUGCGCUUGUGACUGGCGUGCUGGAGUGUGGCAGAGGGAGGUGGAAUUCCACGUGUAGCAGUGAAAUGCGUAGAGAUUGGGAAGAACAUCAGUGGCGAAAGCGCUCUACUGGACCUUAUCUGACAUUGAGGGACGAAAGCUAGGGGAGCGAAUGGG